rnacentral:rRNA from 1 species
AUAGCGUAUAUUAAAGUUGUUGCAGUUAAAAAGCUCGUAGUUGAAUUUCGGGGUUAGUAGGUUGGUCAUGCCUCUGGUAUGUACUGGUCUCACUGAUUCCUCCUUCCUGAUGAGCCGUAAUGCCAUUAAUUUGGUGUUGCGGGGAAUUUGGACUGUUACUUUGAAAAAAUUAGAGUGUUUAAAGCAAGCUAACGCUUGAAUACAUUAGCAUGGAAUAAUGAAAUAGGACGUUCGAUCCUAUUUUGUUGGUUUCUAGGAUUGACGUAAUGAUUAAUAGGGAUAGUUGGGGGCAUUAGUAUUCAAUUGUCAGAGGUGAAAUUCUUGGAUUUAUUGAAGACUAACUAUUG